UCUCUCUCCAUUUUAGAGAGAGAGUUGAGAUGGAAAUUAUAAUUUUCUCUCGAUUUUAGAGAAACAGGUUUUUAUUUUUUUGUGAGGCAAAGGAUUUUGAUUCGUGUCAAUUUACGGCCUCUACCUCAAUUGGACAGAUGUGGCUCUCUUUACCUCUCUCAAAAAUGUGUUUCUUCCUCCCUGUCCUUCCGGAUGGAGGAUUCCUGGCGGUGCUUUUUCUAGUUUGUUCUUCUGCCAUUAGGAAACGAUGGAGAGAUCUAUACUUUUCAAUCUCGUAAUCGACGCUUUUGUCCUAAGUUCUCAUUCCUUGGCUCGAGAGGAUGGUGGGUGGACUCGAUUGCAAAAGUCUCUUUUCUCUUUCUAUUGUAUUCAUCGUUCAUCUCUCAACCUUGCUAGGGCUGCAUGCGUUUUUCUGCUCGGUGCCAUCCUUUGUUUCUAUUGCUUUAGUUGCCGGAAAAGAACUACUGUUCGGAAAAAAAAAACUUAUUUCCUCUUAUCGGCCAUGGCAACUGAGUUUUUGGGUCUUAGGGUUUCUAUGUGUUUGAGUUGCCUCCAAAUAAAAGUUUGAUCAUCUAUCGAACUUGG